AGCAAUGUCUCCUAAAGGGGUUUUGUAAAGGCUGUCACGGCCUCGAUUAGACCUAAUUUGUAGACUUAAGACUUUUUAUUUUCUAAACCUUGUGAUUCUGCUCAUAAGUCAUUUAUCUAAUCUAUAUGAUAUGCAGCCGCUAUAGAAACCGAUUCUUGAUUUUUAUAUGUUUAUAUUCUUUCUUAAUGAACCUUAGGAAGACUGCGUGUUACUAAGCAGACCACUUUGCUGGUUGUUUUUCUUGCCCACUCUGGUAGGGGAACAAUCUUUUCUUAAUUGGCAUCAGUUUCAGACAACUGUAAUACCAAGAAACUGGUGACCUUUUUUGAGCAAUUUCUCCCCAACCCCUAAUACACAUACUUUCUUACCUAAAUUUCAGAAUGAUGUCUUUUUGAUGUCUAAAAAGCAAAGCAUUUUAUAUCUCAUUAGCCAGGCUUUUUAGGGACAGAGAGGUUUUUCCUUGAAAUUUUGAGUCCUUAUUUGUGGCAGGGUGAAAAAUAUACAGACUACCCCUAUUUAUACGGAUAUCUCUCUCUAUAUGUACAGAUUAUGGGAGUAUAGAAAGAGAUAUAGCCCAAAGAUGAAUGGUAAGUAGACAGUCUGAAAGUGUGGCUCCAUACUAAAGAAAUUUUCGGAAAAUUUGCAUUUCGCUACUUUUUUCCACUUGAGGGUCUCACUACAGGGAGGUGGCCGAGGGACAGCACUUCUUGGGGCCACCAGUUCACACGUCCCUCUUGAAAGGCUCUGCUUUUCUCAACCGAACCACUGGGUCGCCCAACUGUGACAGAAAAACACGGGCAGAUGUUGGCCCUGGACUCCGUGUCCUCACCGGCACCACAAGGCUUAUGUCAUACACGGUGUAACGUGACCAGUUCCAAGUUGAUCUUUAGAAACGCGUGAAUUAGAAUGACUUUAACUUCACACAGCACAGAAGAGAAAUGGAGUUUAAGCUGGAUUUGUUUGUUUUGAGUUUUCAGUCCCUUUUCACUAGAACACUGUCCAAAAAUACCGGUGUUACCCUUUUCUUGUUUAUUCCUCCGCCCACUGUGUUCUACUGUCGGUCCCAAUUCAGACAAAUCUGCAAACCUGUGAUACUGGUAAUUUGGAAUAAUUCAUGAUCGUUACCGUUUUGAAGGAAAAGAGAUGAUCAGUUCUCCUACGGCUCAGAUCAGGUCGUGGAUUUUACACCUAAUUAAGAGAAGAAAAGUCAGUGAAGGAAUCCUCUGAUCACAUUGAUCAUGAUAGAAGCAAAAGCCAAACCAAUCCCUCCAUGAUCAGUAUUUCUCAUGCUGUACACAAUAAACUUGUUAGACUGAGUACUUGGUUUUCGUUUAAUAGAACAAAUAAUCAGUGUUUUACUUAUAUUACUAAAUGUGAAAAACACAUAAUGUGAAAAGUAUACAUACAUACAUUAACUUGGUUGUGAAACUCAUCUACGUGUUCACGUGAUGUGGUAAGUUGAAAAAGUGAAGUGAGCUGUUUUCCUGCAAUGAUUCGUUGAACUCGAAGAUGAAAAUGCCCCCUCCCACGUGUAUCUCUUACGGCCUGUAACAAUUGAAAGCAAUGUUUUUGCAGUUUAUAUAAUGCAGUUUUUAAUGUGUUUAAAAACGGAGUUCCUAUGGGCUUAACACAUGACAUUAAUGGGUGGCACAGAUCCCCUUGCAGAACCCAAAGAUACACAAUCAAUUUUGAAACGCAACUUAAGCCAUUAAUUGUUGGUGUAAAUUUAAAAUUUUCUAGUAUUUGUAUGGUAGUAUGCUGCCUAAGAGCAAAGCAUUCUCUGCACAAAAGAAAAUUACUGUAGUGGCUUCGAUUUUAAUUAGAAUUUUCUCCCUGGUGUUUCUUUACAGACUAAAACGAAAUCUUUUAAGUUUCUUACUACAGGUAAAAGCUAUGUGCAAGAACCUCAAAAUGCUAAACUCUAGCAUAAUGCCUUAGAUCUGUUUUUAAGUCUUGUAUAUUCCUACAUAGCUGUCCGAUGUAUUAUAUUUGUAUAGUGAACUGUGUACAAUUUUUUGAAUAAGUGCAUCAUCGCUUAACCUUUAUGGUGUCGAACGGUGAUGCUGAUACCUUUCUUCAAACAUUUAACUGUCUUUUUUGUCUUAUGCCAUUUGUGGGUGUUAUUUGUACAGUUCCUCAUGAAGUUGCAUCUGAGAUGUGUGUACAUGAAAAGAUUAUACAAGGGUAAAACUAAGCAAUAUAUUAACUAUGGUUCUUCAGGAGAAAGCUUACAGUGUUUCAGGUUGUGAUUUAUUUUCAAAACGGAGUUGACUCCAAACAUCACUUUGUUCACCUGCAUUGAUGUUUGUAUUUCUAGUGUGAGCAGUUUACGCAAAAGGUAGAUAUAUUCAGAGAAAUUUUAAAUACAUUUAUGCAAGUUAAUAUUGCUUUGCUGAUGCUAUUUGCUUAUUUGAUGUUAAAUAAUGCUAUUGUAAAUAAAGAAUUCUGUUGUUACUGCAUCAUUUAAUAAAUUUUAAUGCCUUCGGGUUUUACAUGG
rnacentral:lncRNA from 1 species